UUUAACUGAGCGUUCAGUUACUGGACGUAGACCCGAAACCGGGCGACCUACCCAUGAGCAGGAUGAAGCGAAAGUAAAAGUUCGUGGAGGUCCGAACCCACGAGCGUUGAAAAGCUCGGGGAUGACUGGUGGGUAGCGGUGAAAUUCCAAUCGAGCCCGGAGAUAGCUGGUUCUCCCCGAAAUAGCUUUAGGGCUAGCCGCAAGGUGAGAGAUACGGAGGUAGAGCACUGAAUGUCCUAGGGGGUAUUGCACCUACCGAAGACUAUCAAACUCCGAAUGCCGGCAUCUUAUACUUGGGAGUCAGACUGUGGGUGAUAAGAUUCAUAG
rnacentral:rRNA from 1 species